rnacentral:rRNA from 1 species
CACGUAGGGGGCAAGCGUUGUCCGGAUUUAUUGGGCGUAAAGAGCUCGUAGGCGGCUCAGUAAGUCGGGUGUGAAACCUCCAGGCUCAACCUGGAGACGCCACCCGAUACUGCUGUGGCUUGAGUCCGGUAGGGGAGCGUGGAAUUCCUGGUGUAGCGGUGAAAUGCGCAGAUAUCAGGAGGAACACCAGCGGCGAAGGCGGCGCUCUGGGCCGGAACUGACGCUGAGGAGCGAAAGCGUGGGUAGCGAACAGG